GUAGUAGCUCAAAUUUUCAGGUGAAGUUAGAGAACAGAAAUCAGAUGAUCAGCGAUAAUUUUUAUUAUAGAGGCGACGGCACUUGCUCGUUUUAUUUCUCUGAAGAUUACUUAUCAAAUUUGUUUGCGGAAGCUGGUUUUUGCAUCGUGGAUCUGGAUACACACUGCAGACAAGUAGUUAACCACUCUCGAAAUAUGACAUUUGAUCGGCGCUGGAUACGUGCCAUUUUUAAGAAGAUUGACUCUUAGUUCCGCAACAGUUUGUCAAUUUUCAACAGCUUCGAAUAGGGUUUUAAUCCCAGUUGUGAUUGAUACAAGAACUGAUUGAUUACAAGGGAAUACGUCAAGCUUCACAUUAAUGGAUGAAAGCAGGCCGGCGGUGGGCAUAUGAAAAUCUUAAAAUCUUGAUGUUGCUGAUAUUUUGUUUAAGGAAACGAAUCAUCAAUCAAUUCUUAUGUAAGAGAAUAUUGAAACGAUAGGUGCCUUCGUAGAAAUGGCAGGAAAAUUAGUCAUUGUAUUUA